AAAGGGAGGGCCGGAGGCAGAUCCACGGAUUUGGGAAGAGAGGCCGAAGAGCGCGAGCUUGCCGCGUCGCCAAGGCCGGAGAGAGGUUGGAAAGCACGAGCCGGGGUGGGGAUUGGGGGAGAGAGAGGCAACUUGACGGCAGCAUCGGCGAGCGUUGGGGAGGGCGACAACAGCAGCGAUGUGGAACUGCUCGCGAGUUGGAG
rnacentral:lncRNA from 1 species